CUCAUAAUUCAUAAAUCAUUCUCCACACUCAAAAUCUCUUAAUCCCCAAAUUCUCUCUUUCUAUCUCUCUCACACUCCUUUGAAACACAACAUUCCUUUUUAACUCUAAAUUCAGAGAUAGUUUCUUGAUUAGGGUUCUUUGUUGUCACUAUCGCUACUUUAAUCUUUCAUUAUCACUAACUCUUGAAUUCAAUUUCAUCCUAAUUCAUAAUCGAUUCAUUCUACCCAAUUUGUUUUCUCUUUGCAACACUCUUUCCUUCUCCGUCAUUCAUCAUAACGCAACACGUUCGUGUAACUCGCUCACUCCACUCGCUCCGUAACUUGUUCUCGAUUUUUUCAUCAUGCCGAAGGCUAAACUUGAUAACAGUGCACCACAAUGGGCUAGUGUGAACUUAGGAAUUUUCAUUUGCAUGCAAUAUUCAGGGAUUCAACGGAGUCUUGGAGUGCAUAUAUCAAAGAUACGGAUAAUGUGAAGACAAAUAAGCCCUGGGAAGCUAAACUGCCACCAAAUUUUGACAGAAAUGGAUGUGGAAUCGAGAAGUUUAUCUGUGCCGAGCCACCACGAGGGGCUAGUGUGUGAACAUAGGAAUUUUCAUUUGCAUGCAAUGUUCAGGGAUUCACCGGAGUCUAGGAGUGCAUAUAUCAAAGUGUAACAGGAAGGAAACAGAUGAACCUUGCCGCUACGGAUCCUAACAAGCCGAAGAAGCUACCAAGGACAUAAUCCCAUGUUAAAUUCUGGGCAUCACGAUGGGCUAGUGUGAACUUAAGAAUUUUUAUUUGCAUGCAAUUUUCAGGGAUUCACCGGAGUCUAGGAGUGCAUAUAUCAAAGGAAGGAAACAGAUGAACCUUGCCGCUACGGAUCCUAACAAGCCGAAGAAGCUACCAAGGACAUAAUCCCAUGUUGAAUUCUGGGCAUCACGAUGGGCUAGUGUGAACUUAAGAAUUUUUAUUUGCAUGCAAUUUUCAGGGAUUCACCGGAGUCUAGGAGUGCAUAUAUCAAAGGUUUAUAUACAUUUUUGUUCCUUCUCAGUUUAGAAAUUUUAUAAUGGCUGAACCUUCUGAUUUUGUUACAAGGUGAGGUCCACAACUUUGGAUACAUGGUUGCCAGAACAAGUUUCUUUCAUGCAAUGGCACCACAAUGGGCUAGUGUGAACCUAGGAAUUUUCAUUUGCAUGCAAUUUUCAGGGAUUCACCGGAGUCUUGGUGUGCAUAUCUCAAAGGUGAGGUCCACAACUUUGGAUACAUGGUUGCCAGAACAAGUUUCUUUCAUGCAAUGGAAGAAACUAUGGAAUCUAUUUUUUAAUUACUUUCUUUGUGAAAUGUACUAUUGAGCAAAUUAUUAGAUACACUGAGCAACUCUUUCUUUUUCUCCUAAAGGACAUUACGUAAUUUCGAUUUGAUCGAUUAGGUCUUUCUUUACUCAUGGAAGAUAUCGGUGUUGCCAAAUAGCGGCUAUAGCACUAUAGCGUAGCAGAAUGUUAACAACUAUUGCUCCAUGAUAAGCGAUUCAGUACAAACUGUUUUCAAGUAACUGCUAUAGCUGCACUUAAAGCCUAUAACACUAGCAUAGUGAAAUUUUAACGAUCCGCUAUUUU